AUUGAACGCUGGCGGCAGGCCUAACACAUGCAAGUCGAGCGGAUGAGAGAAGCUUGCUUCUCGAUUCAGCGGCGGACGGGUGAGUAAUGCCUAGGAAUCUGCCUGGUAGCGGGGGACAACGUUUCGAAAGGAACGCUAAUACCGCAUACGUCCGACGGGAGAAAGCAGGGGACCUCCGGGCCUUGCGCUCUCAGAUGCGCCUCGGUCGGAUUAGCUAGUUGGUGAGGUAAUGGCUCACCAAGGCGACGAUCCGUAACUGGUCUGAGAGGAUGAUCAGUCACACUGGAACUGAGACACGGUCCAGACUCCUACGGGAGGCAGCAGUGGGGAAUAUUGGACAAUGGGCGAAAGCCUGAUCCAGCCAUGCCGCGUGUGUGAAGAAGGUCUUCGGAUUGUAAAGCACUUUAAGUUGGGAGGAAGGGUUGUAGAUUAAUACUCUGCAAUUUUGGCGUUACCGACAGAAUAAGCACCGGCUAACUCUGUGCCAGCAGCCGCAGUAACAC
rnacentral:rRNA from 1 species